AUGAUUGGGGAACCCGCAGAUCCGUUUGCAACUCCUUUGGAAAUAUUGCCCGAAUGGUAUUUUUUUCCCAAUGUGAAUAAGUUCCAAAACCCAUUUCGGCGUCCAGUAGCAACAACCGUCUUUUUGAUUGGUACUGUCGUGGCUCUUUGGUUGGGUAUUGGAGCAACAUUACCUAUUGAAAAAUCCCUAACGUUAGGUCUUUUUUAA